AUUGAACGCUGGCGGUAUGCUUUACACAUGCAAGUCGAGCGGCAGCACGGGGGCAGCCCUGGUGGCGAGUGGCGAACGGGUGAGUAAUACAUCGGAACGUGCCCGGCCGCGGGGGAUAACGUAGCGAAAGAUACGCUAAUACCGCAUACGAUCAGAGGAUGAAAGGGGGGGACCAUCGGGCCUCGCGCGAUCGGAGCGGCCGAUGUCGGAUUAGUUAGUUGGUGGGGUAAAGGCCUACCAAGCCGACGAUCCGUAGCUGGUCUGAGAGGACGACCAGCCACACUGGGACUGAGACACGGCCCAGACUCCUACGGGAGGCAGCAGUGGGGAAUUUUGGACAAUGGGCGCAAGCCUGAUCCAGCCAUACCGCGUGGAGGACGAAGGCCUUCGGGUUGUAAACUGCUUUUGUACGGAACGAAAAGGAUCUGGCUAAUACCUGGGGCUCAUGACGGUACCGAAAGAAUAAGCACCGGCUAACUACGUG
rnacentral:rRNA from 1 species